GACGAACGCUGGCGGCGUGCUUAACACAUGCAAGUCGAACGGUGAAGCGCCUUCCUUUUUGGUGGGUGUGGAUGAGUGGCGAACGGGUGAGUAACACGUGAGUAACCUGCCCCCUUCUUCUGGAUAACCGCAUGAAAGUGUGGCUAAUACGGGAUAUUCUGGGUCUGUCGCAUGAUGGGUCUGGGAAAGAUAUUGUUUCGGUGGGGGAUGGGCUCGCGGCCUAUCAGCUUGUUGGUGGGGUGAUGGCCUACCAAGGCGGUGACGGGUAGCCGGCCUGAGAGGGUGGACGGUCACACUGGGACUGAGACACGGCCCAGACUCCUACGGGAGGCAGCAGUGGGGAAUAUUGCACAAUGGGCGCAAGCCUGAUGCAGCGACGCCGCGUGAGGGAUGGAGGCCUUCGGGUUGUGAACCUCUUUCGCCAGUGAAGCAGGCCUGCCUCGUUUGUGGGUGGGUUGACGGUAGCUGGAUAAGAAGCGCCGGCUAACUACGU
rnacentral:rRNA from 1 species